AUUGAACGCUGGCGGCAUGCCUUACACAUGCAAGUCGAACGGUAACGGGCCUUCGGGUGCCGACGAGUGGCGAACGGGUGAGUAAUGCAUCGGAACGUACCUUUCAGUGGGGGAUAACGUAGCGAAAGUUACGCUAAUACCGCAUAUUCUGUGAGCAGGAAAGCAGGGGAUCGCAAGACCUUGCGCUGAUUGAGCGGCCGAUGUCAGAUUAGCUAGUUGGUGAGGUAAAGGCUCACCAAGGCGACGAUCUGUAGCGGGUCUGAGAGGAUGAUCCGCCACACUGGAACUGAGACACGGUCCAGACUCCUACGGGAGGCAGCAGUGAGGAAUUUUGGACAAUGGGCGAAAGCCUGAUCCAGCCAUGCCGCGUGUCUGAA
rnacentral:rRNA from 1 species